ACCCCGCCAUUUGUUGGGCCCGCAGUGAAAGAUUACGCGAUUUUCCGUGCCUGUGUGCGGGCGCGCAGAGCCGGUAGAUGGAUCUCGCUCAGAAAUAAGACUGUUGCUACGUACCUCAAUAUUGAAAUGUUUGGAAAAUUGGCCUCAGUGGCGAAGACGCAAAGAUGGCGUAUGAGAUGUAGCGGUUCGAGUUGGCGAGAUAACAUUAACAGCCUACUAUGCGGUCAUCUGGAUGUUGUUUGGGAAAGGACCCUGAUGCCUUUGUUUGACCCUGACUCAGGCCUCCUCACAGUAUCUGGGAUGGGAGAUAGUGUCAUUGACUGCUUCGAGGUGUCUGCCACUGAACCAUUCCUUUCCCAAGUGAGCCACUGUCUGACGGACGCCCCAACGCGAGGCGUUGCCAUGGUACCCAAAUUGGCAUUGGAUGUCAUGUCCUGUGAGGUCAUGCGGGUCCUGCAGCUGACGGACAGCUUCAUCGUGCCAAUCAACUACCACGUGCCCCGCAAGUCAGGACAGGAGUUCCAUGCAGACCUGUACCCAGACACCUUGGGCCGUAAGGCAGCCAUGUCAGCUGCAGAGUGGUGGAAAGGUGGCGAGAAACAGGUUGAGAAGGUCAAUGUCAACCCAUCCAAUCGUCAGAAGCCUAACAACGCUAAGCCAGCCAAUCAGACGGCUGCUAAGAAAGAGCUGCCCAGUGGGAGGAGCAAAGAGGAGGCUCCCAUACGAGGCUGCUCCACCUCCAGCAGUCCCCUGAGCUCCCCCAGCAGCAGUGCUGCCCCGUCCCGCUCCCCCUCCUCCACCUCUGGCCUCUCCUCAGGCUUCCUCCCCAGCCCCAGCCAGAGUGCCAAAGCCAUCAGCAGCAUGUUGGGUCCCAGCAGUAAGUUUCGUCACCUGCAGGGUGCGGUGCUUCACAGAGACACCCACUUCACCAACCUGAAGGGGCUCAACCUCACCACGCCCGGGGAGUGUGAUGGCUUCUGUGCCAACCGCCAUCGCGUGGCCGUGCCCCUCGCCACCGCCGGGGGUCAGAUCGCCAUCUUUGAGUUGUCUCAGGCUGGGAAGCUAGCGGACACAGGCCUGCCCACCAUCCAGAACUCUGUCAACGUGGCUGACUUCUCCUGGGACCCCUUCAACAGUCACAGGCUGGUGGUGGCAGGCGAGGAUGCUAAGAUCCGUGUGUGGCAGGUGCCUGAGGGGGGUCUGACAGAGACCCUGACUGAGCCAGAGACCAUCCUGCAGGGCCACACUGAGAAGAUCUACUCAGUCAAGUUCCACCCCCUGGCGUCGGGCCUGCUGGCAUCCUCCUCCUACGACCAGACGGUGCGCCUGUGGAACCUGGAGUCUGGGGACGAGGUCAAAGCGCUCCGGGGACACCAGGAUCAGAUAUUUGGGAUGGCGUGGAGUCCGGAUGGUAAACUCCUGGCCACGGUGUGUAAGGAUGGGAGACUGCGCAUCUACGACCCUCGCAAGUCUGCUGACCCAGUACAGGAGGGUGCAGGUCCUGAGGGCCACAGAGGGGCUCGUGUGGUGUGGGUGUGUGACGGCAAAUACCUGAUGGUGUCAGGAUUCGACAGUCGCAGUGAGAGAACCCUGUACCUGCACUCCGUUGAGUCCCUGUCCUCCGGGGCCAUCGCCAGCGCCCCCACCGACGUCUCACCCUCCACCCUCAUUCCCUUCUACGACCCCGACACCAGCGUCGUCAUCCUCACCGGAAAGGGUGACACGCGAGUGUACAUCUUUGAGAUAGUGCCAGAAGCUCCCUAUUUCCUGGAAUGUGCCAGCUUCAACUCCUCAGAGCCCCACAAGGGCUUGGCCUUCCUGCCGAAGACUGAGUGUGUGGUGCAAGAGGUCGAGGUGGCCAGGGGUCUGAGGCUCAGUAAGACCUCCAUAGAGCCAGUGGCCUUCAGAGUCCCCCGCGUCAGAAAAGAGUUCUUCCAGGAUGAUGUGUACCCAGACACAGCAGUGUGGUGGGAGUCCUCUCUGACAGCCUCAGCCUGGCUGGCUGGUUCUGAUGGGAAGCACCAGUCCGUCAGCCUCAAGCCCAAAGACAUGACCCCAGUGAGUGAGGCGCCCAAGGAGGUCCAAGUGAGAAAGUACCUUCCAUCCUCUCACUACCUGGAGGAGAAGACUGACGAGCAGAAGAAAGAUGAGGUGUGUGUGUGUGUGUGUGUGUGUGCGUGCGUGCGUGCGUGCGUGCGUGCGUGCGUGCGUGUGUGUGUGUGUAUAUAUAUACACGUACUGAUAUUACAUUUUUGGCCAAUACCGAUAUCUGAUGUUUUCCUUGCCCAAAAAAAUGAUACAAAUAUUUGUUUUAAAUGGCAGCCUUUUAAGUGAAAUAGUUAACACACACACACAUGGGCGCAGUGGUCUAAGGCCCUGCAUCUCAGUGCAAGAGGCAUUGUGGGAUAGGUUAGGAAUGCUGUGUAGCUGGUGUCAUUACGUCAUGUACCUACGUUAUAUAGGUCUGUGGUAUAGGUUAGGAAUGCUGUGUAGCUGGUGUCAUUACGUCAUGUACCUACGUUAUAUAGGUCUGUGGGAUAGGUUAGGAAUGCUGUGUAGCUGGUGUCAUUACGUCAUGUACCUACGUUAUAUAGGUCUGUGGGAUAGGUUAGGAAUGCUGUGUAGCUGGUGUCAUUACGUCAUGUACCUACGUUAUAUAGGUCUGUGGGAUAGGUUAGGAAUGCUGUGUAGCUGGUGUCAUUACGUCAUGUACCUACGUUAUAUAGGUCUGUGGUAUAGGUUAGGAAUGCUGUGUAGCUGGUGUCAUUACGUCAUGUACCUACGUUAUAUAGGUCUGUGGUAUAGGUUAGGAAUGCUGUGUAGCUGGUGUCAUUACGUCAUGUACCUACGUUAUAUAGGUCUGUGGUAUAGGUUAGGAAUGCUGUGUAGCUGGUGUCAUUACGUCAUGUACCUACGUUAUAUAGGUCUGUGGGAUAGGUUAGGAAUGCUGUGUAGCUGGUGUCAUUACGUCAUGUACCUACGUUAUAUAGGUCUGUGGGAUAGGUUAGGAAUGCUGUGUAGCUGGUGUCAUUACGUCAUGUACCUACGUUAUAUAGGUCUGUGGGAUAGGUUAGGAAUGCUGUGUAGCUGGUGUCAUUACGUCAUGUACCUACGUUAUAUAGGUCUGUGGGAUAGGUUAGGAAUGCUGUGUAGCUGGUGUCAUUACGUCAUGUACCUACGUUAUAUAGGUCUGUGGUAUAGGUUAGGAAUGCUGUGUAGCUGGUGUCAUUACGUCAUGUACCUACGUUAUAUAGGUCUGUGGGAUAGGUUAGGAAUGCUGUGUAGCUGGUGUCAUUACGUCAUGUACCUACGUUAUAUAGGUCUGUGGGAUAGGUUAGGAAUGCUGUGUAGCUGGUGUCAUUACGUCAUGUACCUACGUUAUAUAGGUCUGUGGGAUAGGUUAGGAAUGCUGUGUAGCUGGUGUCAUUACGUCAUGUACCUACGUUAUAUAGGUCUGUGGGAUAGGUUAGGAAUGCUGUGUAGCUGGUGUCAUUACGUCAUGUACCUACGUUAUAUAGGUCUGUGGGAUAGGUUAGGAAUGCUGUGUAGCUGGUGUCAUUACGUCAUGUACCUACGUUAUAUAGGUCUGUGGGAUAGGUUAGGAAUGCUGUGUAGCUGGUGUCAUUACGUCAUGUACCUACGUUAUAUAGGUCUGUGGUAUAGGUUAGGAAUGCUGUGUAGCUGGUGUCAUUACGUCAUGUACCUACGUUAUAUAGGUCUGUGGGAUAGGUUAGGAAUGCUGUGUAGCUGGUGUCAUUACGUCAUGUACCUACGUUAUAUAGGUCUGUGGGAUAGGUUAGGAAUGCUGUGUAGCUGGUGUCAUUACGUCAUGUACCUACGUUAUAUAGGUCUGUGGGAUAGGUUAGGAAUGCUGUGUAGCUGGUGUCAUUACGUCAUGUACCUACGUUAUAUAGGUCUGUGGGAUAGGUUAGGAAUGCUGUGUAGCUGGUGUCAUUACGUCAUGUACCUACGUUAUAUAGGUCUGUGGGAUAGGUUAGGAAUGCUGUGUAGCUGGUGUCAUUACGUCAUGUACCUACGUUAUAUAGGUCUGUGGGAUAGGUUAGGAAUGCUGUGUAGCUGGUGUCAUUACGUCAUGUACCUACGUUAUAUAGGUCUGUGGGAUAGGUUAGGAAUGCUGUGUAGCUGGUGUCAUUACGUCAUGUACCUACGUUAUAUAGGUCUGUGGGAUAGGUUAGGAAUGCUGUGUAGCUGGUGUCAUUACGUCAUGUACCUACGUUAUAUAGGUCUGUGGGAUAGGUUAGGAAUGCUGUGUAGCUGGUGUCAUUACGUCAUGUACCUACGUUAUAUAGGUCUGUGGGAUAGGUUAGGAAUGCUGUGUAGCUGGUGUCAUUACGUCAUGUACCUACGUUAUAUAGGUCUGUGGGAUAGGUUAGGAAUGCUGUGUAUCUGGUGUCAUUACGUCAUGUACCUACGUUAUAUGCAAGUCAGCAGAUCACCCAUAUACCCUGCAUCCCUAUUCUGAACCUGUACAAGCAUCUUAUAAUAAUAAUAAUAUAUGCCAUUUAGCAGACGCUUUUAUCCAAAGCGACUUACAGUCAUGUGUGCAUACAUUCUACGUAUGGGUGGUCCCGGGGAUCGAACCCACUACCCUGGCGUUACAAGCGCCAUGCUCUACCAACUGAGCUACAGAAGGACCAUCUUAUCUUAGGGAGUAUUUCUCUGUGAGUGCAGCUAGCUAGACGCUUGGUGACCACUUUGUCACGGUAAUAGUGUGAAUAGUUAUUAGUAGUGAUGGGAUCAUCUAUAUCAUGUAUGAAUGUUUCAUGUUCUGUUCAUUUCCACGGCUUUGUGAAGUCCAGACAACUGCUUGCAGAUUUUCUAUUGGGCUAGACGUAAAUAUCCCGGUAGCAGAUAGACCUACCUAACCAGUUUGAAUACAAUGGGAAGCCAGUUGAUGGACCUUCAGCAGCCAGUUCACUAUGCUGUUGAGAGCCUGUGAGAGGGUUUUGUACCUGCAAGACUCAUGAAUGUUCAUUACCUAAUAGUGUAGGUUAACAACAAGGAUAAACCGAUAUCUCAAUAUGUCUUGCUCAUAUUGAUAUCAUGUUAAAUGAGGGAUAUGGGUACUCACCACUAGUCAGUAGUGGGACUAUAGUGUGUUAACCAUCUGUCUUGAUACUCACCACUAGUCAGUAGUGGGACUAUAGUGUGUUAACCAUCUGUCUUGGUACUCACCACUAGUCAGUAGUGGGACUAUAGUGUGUUAACCAUCUGUCUUGGUACUCACCAAUAGUCAGUAGUGGGACUAUAGUGUGUUAACCAUCUGUCUUGGUACUCACCACUAGUCAGUAGUGGGACUAUAGUGUGUUAACCAUCUGUCUUGGUACUCACCACUAGUCAGUAGUGGGACUAUAGUGUGUUAACCAUCUGUCUUGGUACUCACCACUAGUCAGUAGUGGGACUAUAGUGUGUUAACCAUCUGUCUUGGUACUCACCACUAGUCAGUAGUGGGACUAUAGUGUGUUAACCACUAGUCAGUAGUGAGACUAUAGUGUGUUAACCAUCUGUCUUGGUACUCACCACUAGUCAGUAGUGGGACUAUAGUGUGUUAACCAUCUGUCUUGGUACUCACCACUAGUCAGUAGUGGGACUAUAGUGUGUUAACCAUCUGUCUUGGUACUCACCACUAGUCAGUAGUGGGACUAUAGUGUGUUAACCAUCUGUCUUGGUACUCACCACUAGUCAGUAGUGGGACUAUAGUGUGUUAACCAUCUGUCUUGGUACUCACCACUAGUCAGUAGUGGGACUAUAGUGUGUUAACCAUCUGUCUUGGUACUCACCACUAGUCAGUAGUGGGACUAUAGUGUGUUAACCAUCUGUCUUGGUACUCACCACUAGUCAGUAGUGGGACUAUAGUGUGUUAACCAUCUGUCUUGGUACUCACCACUAGUCAGUAGUGGGACUAUAGUGUGUUAACCAUCUGUCUGUACUACAGCUGUUGAGUGCCAUGAUAGGCAAGCUGGGGAACAUGGAUGACAACCCUCUACCACAGGAGUCCUUCCAGGGAGUAGAAGACGAUGAGUGGGGUGACUAGUGUGUGUUGCCUUGCGGACCAAUCAGGGUCCAGCAGUAGCCAAGGGCCUGUUGGACUGAAACGUGUCAUUCCUGUGUGCCACUGAUGUGUCCUAUGUCAAAAGAACAUCUCUCAAACGCAUAACAUUAACCUGUCAUUAGGGUUGUAAAAUUCUGUCAACAAAAUGUCUAGCUUUUCCAGAAAUACCAAUUGGAGAGUUCUUGGAUUUCCUGCUUGUUUUCCUGGGAAUUUUAGGGAAAGUUACCAGACUUUUACAGCCCUACCUCCCAUAUCCUUGUAUCAUCCUCUAAUACUCUGAGUAAGUAGAUGUUGCCUGUAACCAUUGACUGAAUCAGGAUCAGAUAUGUUUUCCUCCCCAUAAUGUUUAAAGGUAGGACUGGGGUUUGGGAAUCUGAUCCCAGGUCUGUUGUUAAAGGCAACCUCACCCCAAUUUGACCUUUGACUUGCAGCUGCCUUGUACUGUAAAUAGCUAACAUUCCUACCAGGCUAGAUAGGUAAAUGACUCCCAACACUCCCUUACAACCCAGCCCUUACCGCCACACUGGAUGGACACCUGUGUGUCUGUCACCACUCCUAACCUUACACCUGUGUGUCUGUCACCACUCCUAACCUUACACCUGUGUGUCUGUCACCACUCCUAACCUAACACCUGUGUGUCUGUCACCACUCCUAACCUUACACCUGUGUGUCUGUCACCACUCCUAACCUUACACCUGUGUGUCUGUCACCACUCCUAACCUAACACCUGUGUGUCUGUCACCACUCCUAACCUUACACCUGUGUGUCUGUCACCACUCCUAACCUUACACCUGUGUGUCUGUCACCACUCCUAACCUUACACCUGUGUGUCUGUCACCACUCCUAACCUAACACCUGUGUGUCUGUCACCACUCCUAACCUAACACCUGUGUGUCUGUCACCACUCCUAACCUAACACCUGUGUGUCUGUCACCACUCCUAACCUUACACCUGUGUGUCUGUCACCACUCCUAACCUAACACCUGUGUGUCUGUCACCACUCCUAACCUAACACCUGUGUGUCUGUCACCACUCCUAACCUAACACCUGUGUGUCUGUCACCACUCCUAACCUAACACCUGUGUGUCUGUCACCACUCCUAACCUAACACCUGUGUGUCUGUCACCACUCCUAACCUUACACCUGUGUGUCUGUCACCACUCCUAACCUUACACCUGUGUGUCUGUCACCACUCCUAACCUUACACCUGUGUGUCUGUCACCACUCCUAACCUUACACCUGUGUGUCUGUCACCACUCCUAACCUAACACCUGUGUGUCUGUCACCACUCCUAACCUAACACCUGUGUGUCUGUCACCACUCCUAACCUAACACCUGUGUGUCUGUCACCACUCCUAACCUAACACCUGUGUGUCUGUCACCACUCCUAACCUAACACCUGUGUGUCUGUCACCACUCCUAACCUAACACCUGUGUGUCUGUCACCACUCCUAACCUAACACCUGUGUGUCUGUCACCACUCCUAACCUAACACCUGUGUGUCUGUCACCACUCCUAACCUUACACCUGUGUGUCUGUCACCACUCCUAACCUUACACCUGUGUGUCUGUUAGCACUCCUAACCUUACACCUGUGUGUCUGUCACCACUCCUAACCUUACACCUCUGUGUCUGUCACCACUCCUAACCUAACACCUGUGUGUCUGUCGCCACUCCUACCUAACCUUACACCUCUGUGUCUGUCACCACUCCUAACCUAACACCUGUGUGUCUGUCACCACUCCUAACCUUACACCUCUGUGUCUGUCACCACUCCUAACCUAACACCUGUGUGUCUGUCACCACUCCUAACCUAACACCUGUGUGUCUGUCACCACUCCUAACCUUACACAUGUGUGUCUGUCACCACUCCUAACCUUACACCUCUGUGUCUGUCACCACUCCUCACCUAACACCUGUGUGUCUGUCACCACUCCUAACCUUACACCUCUGUGUCUGUCACCACUCCUAACCUAACACCUGUGUGUCUGUCGCCACUCCUACCUAACCUUACACCUCUGUGUCUGUCACCACUCCUCACCUAACACCUGUGUGUCUGUCACCACUCCUAACCUUACACCUCUGUGUCUGUCACCACUCCUCACCUAACACCUGUGUGUCUGUCACCACUCCUAACCUUACACCUGUGUCAUAAUAAUAAUGACUAGACCACUGCUUGCUUUUUUUAUGGGCACAUAUGAACCAUAGUCCAUAAUCUUCUAAACACAGUAACUAUGAAAAACUAAAACACAUGCUCCUGAAUACAGUAUCUAUGGUCUUCCAGAUUUACCACCUCCUAUGCAUCACUAUACAUUAACACUCACACACACACACACACACACCACACACACACACACACACACACACACACACACACACACACACACACACACACACACACACACACACACACACACACACACACACACACACACACAAAGACUCACACUCCACCUGGAUAUCCCAUCUCCAGCUCCUGUAGUCCGUGGAUGUUGGAUGGUCUGUGGUAUCCCCAUCCGAUCUCAACAACACACAGCAAAAACACACAGACAGGGUACAACAGGGUAAACAGCCUUCAGGUUAAAGCAUGGCUGGCUUCUAUUGAUAGGAAUAGAAUAUUGUUUUGUUGUUUAGGUAGCUUCAUUCUCUGGCCAGUGAUAAAGACCUACUAACAGUCCUGUACCACUCCAGGGUCGUGUUCAUUAAUCACCAAACGUUUUCCGUUGCGUGCUGUAAUGAACGUGACCCAGGUGCAUAUCUUAGUUCAGCCAGCAGAUCUUGGGAGAUAGUUUAUAGCAUCGGGGCUGCGCUCUGUUUUGUGGGACUCUUAAAAUGUGUGUGACGUUCAUACAUGUGGGUGUCAUGUAUUGAGAAGCCAAAACACCCUCUGUGGGAGUUGUACAGGAGUGUGUCUGUGGAUCUCUGAGGUUGUGAUGUGGUGGGAAGUAGUAUGUAUCUGUACCUUUCUUUCUACAUUGAUAGACUGUAUAACUGGAAUUCCUGUACCUCAUAUGUUAACACUUCAUCUUAAGACUGUUAUUGAAGUAUUCCUCACUAAAGGAGCUCACUCUUUUAUUAUACUGUAGUAAACAAUCAUUUUGUAACUUUUACUUAAUAACUUACAGUAUUAAUACUAUAUGAUGCAAUCACAGCAGCCAUGAUCAAGACUAGUACAGCACACGGCAAUACUUUUAAUAGUCUAAUCCAAGUCUGAUCCAACCAAUCAUGUUGUUUACAAUGACAGAAAGACUGGAACCAACCAAGCAUUCUUGAAUAGUAGUCAGACUCACGGAGUUUACACAGGCAGUCCAAUUCUGUCAUGUGUUUUUUAAUUGGUCUUUAAACCAAUCAGAUAAGAGCUUUUUGCCAGUACUUGGGCAACAUAUCAGAAUUGGGCUGCCUGUGUAAACGCAGCCAUUGUGGAGUACUUGGAAAGGGAACAGACUCCAAUGCAUUGACUGUAGGGCCUAGAUAUUGUUGGUGUCAGUGAUUGUGUGUUUGUCAUGUGUUUUGUGCCUGCAAUCUCUCAGAUGUCUUACAUUGUUCUUUGGGAAAUUAACAAAAAGAAACAUCUCUUUUAUACUUUGAAUAAAGCAUUAUUUCUCUGUCCGUCUUAUGAAUAAUGGUUUUGUGGGAAUGUCCAUGUUGCCUUGCAAUAAACAACUGUUUGAACCUUGUA